UGUGGGAGCUGGCUUGCCUGCGAUGACGGUAUGCCAGCCACCAUAGAUGUUGCUGAUCUACCGCUAUCGCAGGCAAGCCAGCUCCCACA
rnacentral:misc_RNA from 1 species